GAGCGAACGCUGGCGGCGUGCCUAACACAUGCAAGUCGCACGAGAAAAGGGGUCGCAAGACCCCCGGUACAGUGGCGAACGGGUGAGUAACACGUGGGUAACCUGCCCUUGGGUUCGGAAUAACCUGCCGAAAGGCGGGCUAAUACCGGAUAACGCCACGGGGUCCUCGGACCUCGUGGUUAAAGCUGACCUCUUCAUGAAAGUUGGCGCCUGGGGAGGGGCCCGCGUCCCAUUAGCUAGUUGGUGAGGUAACGGCUCACCAAGGCUCCGAUGGGUAGCCGGCCUGAGAGGGCGACCGGCCACAGUGGAACUGAGACACGGUCCACACUCCUACGGGAGGCAGCAGUGAGGAAUCUUGCGCAAUGGGCGAAAGCCUGACGCAGCGACGCCGCGUGGACG
rnacentral:rRNA from 1 species